CAGACCUCACCAUUUUUCUCUUUCACUAACUUAUUUUUAUUACACAUAUAUCAUUGUAAUGUGUGUGUCAGAUGGUGGCUGUGAUGCUCAGUGUGGUAUUGUAGUAGGAGGUGCUCGUCUCUCUCACUUCCAGCUUGCAGCGCUGGCUGGCAGUCUUGCGAAAAGGAGGGCCGAGUCUGUAAGUCUCUGACGGUGGGUCUCGGCCCGAAACGUUGACUGAUCGUUUCCACGGAUGCUGAGUUCCUCCGGCGUGUUGUGAGUGUUGCUUUAGCCCCAGCAUCUGCGGUGUCUCUCCCUGCCGGUACACAGCCCGUCUCUCCGGCGGCAAGCCGCACGUCGUGCCUCCCCGCUGGCGACACGCUCGAACUGAGCCCCCCAUCAGAGUCCGGCUGAGCUGCAGAGGACGGGGAGGGGGUCCGGCCCCUGCACACACACAGCAUGCCAGCCCACCCCCUGGCGCCAGCUAGGGGUAAACAGCCCCGCUGUCUUACGGGAGAGACGAGGGCUACGGGAGUGAACCCAGACGGCAAAUCCGGAGCGGAGCCCCUCAGGCGGCUGGACGUCAGUGAACAUCCUCCCGGCAACUCCGGCAGCCGAGCCGGUGCCAAACACAGUGAUACACUGGACAGUGGUGAGGCCGAGAGGGCAUCUCAGGAUCGCCACACCUUCCACCCAGGCUUGUGCCCCGGAGAGGUCACUCCAUCGUCCUCCCAGACAGCCGGAUGCCAUUCCGUCAUCCUCAUUGUAAUUUAUAUUUAGUGUUUUGCCCUGCAGCGCUGCCGCAAAGUAACACAUUUCGUGGCAUAUGUCGGAGAUAAACCUGAUUCUGAUUCAUGCUCCCCGUUGCCAUGGUUGCCGGAAUGUUUGUUUCCCCGUUGCUAGGGAUCCCCAUUCAUGGCGUGGCUGCUGAGGGGGUGAGCCACGCUCUUUCAUUCCUGCUCCCUUAGCGGUGAUACCGACGAUUACUCCGGGCGAAUGGGAAGCACCGCACACAUGAUGCGUUGCCUGGGCUGCAGCAAUUUCAAAUUUGACUUUGUUCCGUACGGUUGCCGCUGCAGGCAUGAGAAGAGAGAGUCUGUGAUUGGAAAUCCCGUGGAUGUUAUUGAUUGGUGUUGCCUGCACCACCAGUGCUGUUACAAGUCAUGGCAUGGAGAAGGCUGCCACGCACUGACCCACUACAGGUGGAGCUGUGUUGCUGGGAAUGUACACUGUUCGUCAGGUCAGAGGAAAGACUUGUGCCACGUGGCCAGGCGUAAGUGUGACUGUCAGCUGGCACUCUGUCUGUUUCCAUUCCCAGUCUGGGAGAAGUACAGGAACCACUCCCUGAAGAACUGUUCCAGAAAUAACCAGUGCUUUGUUCCCAGAUAAACAGGGGUGGAAGCAAAAUAAAGGAUUUACAAAACUGUAUCAAGUUUAUUGUCAUUCAACCAAGUGUACAGCUAAAUGUAUACACGUAUACUAUACAUGCUGUCCCACCAAGAAACCUUAUUGGAUGAGGAUCAGGAGGGACAGAUGAUGGGGGUAUAAAUACCACGGGACUAGGCAUGCCCAGGCAACAUCCCUGAUAAAGAUGGCAGAGUUUGUCAUCACAACAUUGGUUAAAACCGAUACAGGUAACCGGCUGGGAGCCUGAGAAGAGUUUGUUCAUCAUAUACACCAGGAAAGCACUAGAUCCUUUUUCAAAACAUACUGUGUUAGAAUCACAGUGCACACAGUCACACACAGCACGUACAGUUACGAUAAAGCGUAAUACACUCACAAAAUAAUACUAGCAUAACUACCUGACUAUCACAGCCCACCCAGUAUUCAGUUUGCGUUCUGCCUCAGAGAGACGAUGAGGAGUUGAAAUCUGAUCAAAACCUGAAGAAGGUCAUUGGCUAUGUGGUACAGUCUGAAUUGAACAGUCAGGAGUUCAUAGGCAAUUCCAUCCUCUGACAUUCAUUGACAAGCACGACUUACGGAGGAAGGAAAAGGGGCUGGGGAAGGUGGGAUGGGGAG